AGCUGAUGCAUAUGGCGGCCCCUCCUCCCAGUGCCGCCGCAGCAGCUGUUCCCCUCUGGAGGUUUAUUGACCUUCACACUUCAUGGGCCGCGGUCUCCGCUGGCCCAUCUUU
rnacentral:sRNA from 1 species